UACAGAGGUCCCAAGCGUUGUUCGGAUUCACUGGGCGUAAAGGGUGCGUAGGCGGUUGGGUAAGUUUGACGUGAAAUCUCCGAGCCUAACUCGGAAACUGCGUUGAAUACUAUCCAACUUGAGGAAUGGAGGGGAGACUGGAAUACUUGGUGUAGCAGUGAAAUGCGUAGAUAUCAAGUGGAACACCAGUGGCGAAGGCGAGUCUCUAGACAUUUCCUGACGCUGAGGCACGAAAGCCAGGGGAGCAAACGGG
rnacentral:rRNA from 1 species